ACAACUAUAAACGCCAGGGUAUUACGAGCCUAGCUUAAAACCCAAAGGACUUGACGGUGUCCCACCACUCUAGAGGAGCCUGUUCCAUAAUCGAUGAUCCACGUUAUACCUAACCAUUUUUUGCUUUUUCAGCCUGUAUACCUCCGUCGCAAGCUUACCAUAUAAAUGAAUUAUAGUGGGCCCAAUAGAUUGAACUCUAUUACGUCAGGUCAAGGUGCAGCUUAUAAAAUGGAAAAGGAUGAGCUACAAUUUCUAACUUAGAACAAACGAAUUACUACAUGAAACACAGUCAUGAAGGUGGAUUUAGUAGUAAAUAGGGAAUAGAGAGCCCUAUUAAAUUUUAGCCCUGGGACG
rnacentral:rRNA from 1 species